UACCUACGGGAGGCAGCAGUGAGGAAUAUUGGUCAAUGGGCGCGAGCCUGAACCAGCCAAGUAGCGUGAAGGAUGACUGCCCUACGGGUUGUAAACUUCUUUUAUAAAGGAAUAAAGUGAGGCACGUGUGCCUUUUUGUAUGUACUUUAUGAAUAAGGAUCGGCUAACUCCGUGCCAGCAGCCGCGGUAAUACGGAGGAUCCGAGCGUUAUCCGGAUUUAUUGGGUUUAAAGGGAGCGUAGAUGGGUUGUUAAGUCAGUUGUGAAAGUUCGGGGCUCAGCCCCGGAAUUGCAGUUGAAACUGCCG
rnacentral:rRNA from 1 species